AGGCCCCAGGUGUCUCAGCAGAAAAGGUUUGCGAGUUCCUGCUGUGAAUACCAGGCUGCUAUUUUAGGAACCCCUGUGGUGGUAGCUGCCACUUCUGUUUCUUCCUUUCCCAUCGGGCUCCUCGCCUUCUUUUCCCUUUUCCCUGUCCUUUUUCUCUUUAUAAAGCCUUGACCCCAACAGCACUCCCAGACAGGACAGGUUAAUGGCCUCUGGUUUAGAUACGGUCCCAUGGGGUAGGGGUGUGCGUGGGUCAGAUGCGUCAUCUUCCUGGUCUGGGGACUCCGUGAUCCCAGGUCUUUAAUGAGGAAAGCACUAGAUGGGUCUCUCAUGCCCCGUUGUUUGUAGGAGAGCAGUUCUGGACUGUCAUUCCCACCUGGGCUGUGCCGGUCUCUCUCCCGGGCUUGCCACCGUCCUGAGGCCACUUGUCCCAGAACAUUAAUAAGAAUCAGCUUCCAGGGGUCCCAGAAACUCCAGCCUCAGCUUACAAGUGGAGGGCAUGUGAGAGAAUCCCAGGUGAAUGACAGACCGACUCUGUCUGGUGUUCCUGAUGAAGACCAGACUGUGCUUUCCCGUUUCUGCCGCCAGUUUUGUAUCGAGCUUUGACUGUUUGCUGGGGGAGGAGCUGUCUGGGGCGCUGGAAGCAGAUGAGCUGGAACCUUGUCCCAACCACUUGCAGAGGCUGAAUAAGUCUCAGCAAGACCUGUAAACCCUCAGAGCCUCCCUCUUCAUCUGGAAGAUGGGGAUUAUAAUACCUUCUCCUGGGGAUGUGAUGAGGAUCAAAUAGGUUCUGUGAUGAAAGUUGAGAUGGCAGAUCCAGUUGUCAAGCUGCUUGGAUGGUGCUGCACUCAGGAAGGAGGAGGGAAUGAGUCCUCUUGAAAAUUCUUUGCCAGCUGUGAAUGUGAUGUGUCUGUGAAAGAGAACUUAAUCAAUAUUCAAGAACAACAGGAGGCAAGGUUGUGUUUCAUUAAAUGACUGACCAUGGAAAACAGUGGAGGGAUGAAGCAGCAAUCUACAAAUAGGGAGUCCAGGAAUGAUCCUGAUGAGCAAGACCUGCGUCUUCAAAGAGGCACCCAGGUGACUUAGAAAUUAAACGUGGUGUAGUUUGGGGUACAUUUCUUCCUUCCUGAGGCAACCCAGGAACCUGGCGGCUGCAAGCCAUUGCAGGCUGGCAGAGGUCUGAACUCCUGUGAAAAUCUGAUCGUGUCUGGGUGAGGAGCCCUUCUGCCAAGCUCCUGUAGCAGCUUAUGUGUUUCCCGUGAACCCACCAUACCUCUUUCCUACCACACCAUGAUCGCCCAUUUACUCAUUUCUAGAAUCUUCCUGAUUACAAAGGAGGCUCUCGGAGGUCAGGGACUGUAUCUGCCCAGAUCACCAUUUUAUUUCCCUUGCUUAGCUCAUUGCCUGGAAGAUAAUAGGUGUUCAAUAUUUACUGAAUAAAUAAAUGAAAAUCAUAAAGCUUUCCCCUGGCCCCUUAAAUAUUUCACCUAUAUUGCAGCUUUUGCAACUCAUUUAAGGGUCUAUCUGGGGACUCCAGCAUAAGAACUUCUAUUUUAGAUGGUCAUUACAAACAAAGAAGGGGAAUUUGCAGGCUAAAUAAAGAAGCAGCCAUUCUUCAUUACAGGCCAGAAGGAAUUUGCACAUCAAGUGUCUGUCUCCAGAGGGGAAGGGCAAAGUUGGUGUUGACACGGUGUUACAGAUGAAGGGAAGCUGUGUCCAAGUCCCUCAUGUACCUUAGAUGACAAGGAGAGCCAGGCCUUGCCCAAGGUCACAUGGCUAGUGCCAGAGAUAACUGGAGCCUUCCAGCUUCCAGAACAGCACUCACCAAACCCUCCCCUCCCCACUUCUAUGCUGCCUACCAGAAGCACAGUCAUUGCAAGAAUUCAGUGAAGGCUUCCUUCAGAGCAUGGCCAGAGAAUAAUUUAAGGAAAUGCAGAAUUUACACGACCUUGGUGAGAUUAGGGGACAGGUCUUUCCAAGAAAGAUUUGAUUCAAGUUGAUAAAACCUUUGGAGGGAAGUUAUUGCCUUGCUGCCUCAUUUGAAAGAGGAAAAGUUUCUAUUUCUUUGUCCUUAAUGGGGGCAUAACUUCAGAGAGAAAAAGACCUGGUGCUUGAGAGCAAGCCCAAUGAAGGCAGCAAUCCUGUUUUCUUCCUCAUUCAGGUUCAGCAGUGCCCUCAGCCCUGGCCUGGCCCACACGAAUCCUCAAGAACAAGGCAGAUACAGGCCACAGCACUUACCAACUGCAUUUCACAUUAACAUGAACCCUGGGUGAGCAUGGGACACAAUUCUGGAAUCUAUUAAUCUCACUGCCACAUAUGCAGGAUGUUUCAGAUGAGCUCAUCCAGAGAUCUGCAGUAUUGGUGUUGUUUUUAAAUCAGGAAAAAAGAAACUCACACUCUCCGUCAUGCCAGAUGCUCUAUCAGAUAAAUAUCACACACAGUUUUUUAGAGAAAUAUUAUGUGAUUUGAGAACAUCUGCAAUUCUCUAGAACAUACUGUUAUCAGAAGCUGACUUAUACUAAAUAUCACACAUCAGACUUUCCUUCAAAGGUCUUGCACUAAAUUUGUCCACUGCAGCACAACUGUCUCCUUCUGAAACAGUAUCAGACAGAGUUAAAAUGUGUCAGCUCAUUAGCAUUACCACAAGUUGAUUUCAGAUGCACUCAUGUUAUCAAUAACCGAGUUUUUUCCUGUUUCAGAAAUGAUGAGUACAGAAGAGAUCUCCCCAAUUGCUACUUUGGUUUGCAAUGGGUGUUACAAAUUCAAGACAUCAUUUGUUCUUAGAUUAGCAUGAGCGCCACCCCCCCCCCCCACUAUUUACAGGGUGCAGAGGAAAAUACCAGGUGCUGUGUUAAGAACUUUGCAAACUAUCAUGUCCUCAAGAGUCCUCUGAGACAACUACUAUUAACUUGCAUGUCAGGGCACCAAGGCCUAGUGCCCACAUUACACGGUUUGUGGGGCACAUUUAUUGUGCGCUAGGCACCCUCCUAUGUGUUUAAUUAUAUCUCAUUUCAUUCCACCAAACACUUUGAAGUCAGUGCUGUCAUAACCCCUGGAUUACAGUUGAAGAAACUGUCACAGGUCUCCAACUCAGUCCUAGUUUACUCCCAAACUCAUGCACACUCUUUCAUUUGACAAUAUAUGUGAGGGUCCUUUUUUGGUGAAGUUAAAUCUCCUGGACUCUAUCUUCCCUCUCUGGAUGAUCUUGGGUAAGCUCUAGUUAAUCUUACUGUGGCUAAGUUUCCGCCUUUGUAAAACAGCAUAAUAAUAGUAAACUACUCAGAAGGUUGAGAGAAUGCAGUAAAAGCACUUAGCACAGUGUCUGGCAUAUAGACAUUACUCAGCAGACUGCAGGUAUUGUUAAUGAUAAUGAUAACAGCUCUUAUUAUUUUUAUGAAAAUAAUGCUACCUCAGAAAGUAUAUAGCGAUUAAAACAAACCAAAACAGCACGAUGAGGGCGAAUUUAAUAGUGUGUUAAGGACUAUGUUCAAAGAGAUGUCCCCACCAAGAAGAAGAGAGCUACAUUCAAUCAGAAGUGGUGGCCGUAGACCCUUAUCUUUCUCAGCGUUGCCCGCGGGGGUGAUACCCCUCUCCUACACUGCAUCACUGCCGUUCUCAGACCUCUGAUAAAGCCCAAGAUCAUUCAAAAGAGGAUCAAGAAGUUCAUCUGGCACCAGUCAAAAUGAUAUGUCAAAAUCGAGCACAACCGGCGGAAACCCAGAGGCAGUAACAGCAGGGUAUGAGGAAGAUUCAAGGGCCAGAACUUGAGGUUUAUGCUCACAAUGUCUCUUCCAAGAACAAAGCCAUUGUGGAAACAAACCCAGCUGGACAUCAGGGUCACCAAUCCAAUGCCAGGCUAUGCGGUGAAAAAAAUAAAUAGACAGCUUAUGUGCACAUCUCAUUUGUGUUAAUAAAACCAUAAAACUGCCAUCUGGCAAAAAGAA